GCCUAGCCCCGAUUGUAGUGGAAAUCCUUAUGACCCGUGGUUCGGGGCAUAAGAUUAUAACGGAAAGCGGGACAACUC
rfam:Flavobacterium sp. LM5 Flavobacterium_sp_LM5_contig1, whole genome shotgun sequence.